UUUCCGUAGGUGAACCUGCGGAAGGAUCAUUAUUGAAUGAUACACUUCUGGCUUUAUGCUGUUGUGCUGGCCCUUUGGGCAAUGUGCACACGGCUCUGGUCACUUGUUUCUUCUGUUCCACCUGUGCACUGCCUGUAGACACGCUGUGUGUAUGAUAUUUGUUAACACACAACAAUGUUAGUUGGCAUGUUAUAUAUAAUAAUAAAAUAUACAACUUUCAACAACGGAUCUCUUGGCUCUC
rnacentral:misc_RNA from 1 species